rnacentral:ncRNA from 1 species
AAAGACUUAGUCCUAACCUUACCGUUAACUAUCGCUAGACAUAUACAUGCAAGUAUCCGCACCCCAGUGUAAAUGCCCUUAACUUCUCAUUCGAGAUUAAAAGGAGCAGGUAUCAGGCACACCAAAUCGUAGCCCAAGACACCUUGCUCAGCCACACCCCCACGGGUACUCAGCAGUAAUUAACAUUAAGCAAUAAGUGAAAACUUGACUUAGUUAUAGCAAUACCUAGGGUCGGUAAAUCUUGUGCCAGCCACCGCGGUCAUACAAGAAACCCAAGUUAACCAAAUACGGCGUAAAGAGUGGCAUCAUGUUAUCACACAGACUAAGAUCAAAAUACAACUAGGCUGUAAUAAGCUUAAGAUGUACCAAAGACCCCUUUAAAAACAAUCUUAGCCCGCUGCAAGAUCAAUUAACCUCCACGAAAGCCAGGACACAAACUGGGAUUAGAUACCCCACUAUGCCUGGCCUUAAAUCUUGAUACUUACCCCACUAAAGUAUCCGCCUGGGAACUACGAGCACAAACGCUUAAAACUCUAAGGACUUGGCGGUGCCCCAAACCCACCUAGAGGAGCCUGUUCUGUAAUCGAUAACCCACGAUCCACCUAACCACUUCUUGCCCAAACAGCCUACAUACCGCCGUCCCCAGCUCGCCUUAACUGAAAGCACAACAGCAAGCACAACAGCCACAACCCACGCUAGUAAGACAGGUCAAGGUAUAGCUUAUGAAGUGGAAGAAAUGGGCUACAUUUUCUAACCAUAGAACAUUCACGAAAAGAGGAGUGAAACCCUCCCCUAGAAGGCGGAUUUAGCAGUAAAGAGAGACAAUUAAACUUCCUUUAAGACGGCCCUGGGGCACGUACAUACCGCCCGUCACCCUCCUCACACACUACCCACCAACAAUACAUAAUACAAGUAUCAACCACAAGACGAGGUAAGUCGUAACAAGGUAAGUGUACUGGAAAGUGCACUUAGCACAC